UGUCCCCUCAGAAGUCCCCAAUAUCCUCAGUGUCCCCAGUCCCAUUUUUCCCAAUUUUCCACCAAUACUCCCCAAAUAUUUUCCCAAUUUUUCCCUGAUUUUUCCCCAAUUUUUUCUCAUUGUCCCCAAUCCCCCCGAUGUCCCCACUGUCCCCAGUGUCCCUCAGAAGUCCCAGAUGUCUCCAGAGAUGUCCCCUCAGUGUCCCCGAUGUCCCCAGGUGUGUAUCACGUGUCCCAGAUGUCCCCUCAAUGUCCCCUCGGUGUCCCCUUAGAAGUCCCAAAUGUCCCCAAUGUCCCCUCAGUGUCCCCGAUGUCCCCUCAGAAGUCCCAGAUGUCCCCCAUUGUCCCCAGAUGUCCCCAAGGGUCUCAGAUGUCCCCAGGUAUCUCAGGUGUCCCCAAUGUCCCCUCAGAAGUCCCC
rnacentral:lncRNA from 1 species